GGCGAUCUCGUCAUAAUAAUGCUUGUUAUUGGAAAGUAAUCUGGCGACUCUUGCCAUCAUAUUCACGUAAUACCUUCUAAAAAAAAAAGCGUGCUCUGUUGAGGUUCUGGCCAGCUGAAUAUAUUACGUUUCAGAGCCGUUUAUGAUCGUAAUUUUAUGAAAUAUCAUAAAUGCCCGCCUAAAACCUCUUAUUCAUCGUGUGCACCCCAGUAUAAUUAUGGGAUCACCUGCCAUAAAAUGACGAUUUGUACAUGGUAUUACACCAACAACAGUAUACCAACAAGUGUUACUGUUACAGCCGGAGACGGCUCUUUACCUGUGGUGAGUAUCGGUUUAUGUGUACAGGUGUGCUGGUGACACGUGCUUAGUUUUUUAUAUUAUUUUACAGACACUGCUGCUGGGGAUUUUUUUGAGGAGGAAGACGAACAGGAGAUGUUGAUGGUGGCCUCACAGGCUGAGGAACAACUUCCUCAAGAGAAAUGGCACUUAUCAAGCGUCAAGCUACAUUUACUCUGAGUGCACUUUAUCAAAGCAAAAAGGGAACUUAAAGGUCCACUGCUGCCUCCAGAGAGCCUGCUUGCGCCCCUGUUCCUGCCCUGGCCCCGCCCCCUGCUCCUCCAGCUGUGUGGACUCCUGGCCCGGUGGUCCAUCCCCCUGCAGAGCUUCCUGUCCACUGGAAUGAACACCUCCCAUCAUUCCAGCGAGACUGGAUCAGGAAGACUCUGUUCAGGGCCAAUGCUAAAACAGGGAAGGCAGAGCUGAUAUCACAUCCCAACUUCUGCUGUUACCCUCCCCAGCCCCCGACCAUCUUCACUCAGCCUCCUGCCUCUACUGACCUCUUCUUCUGACGCCCUGUUCCUCUGGAUGCCCCUGAAGAUGUGCUCCAUCCCACUCGUCUGUGUCCAGCCAGCCUGCAAUAACCACAAGCUGACAGCUGCUGGGCUCUACCGCACUGUGAGCAAGGUCCUGGACAUAGAUGGUGGUAUGACAGGGCCUCUGUGUCUGUGUCCCGCUUCACACAGAGGAACAGGCAACGCAGGGCAGAAGAGGAGGCCAGUGGAGCCCACAAAAGAAAGUAUGUGUGUAAUGUGGCAUUCAACAAGUGCACCAAGUGUGGGCAGCCCAAGACAAAAGAGUUUGGCCAUAGCUGCUUCAGGAGUGCCACUUUUUGCCCCAGUUUCUCAGGUGGCAAAUCUUUAGAGGAGUGGCUGGCAGAACAGCGCCAGCAGAAGAAACCAGGAACCCCCCCAAUCUGGAGGUGGACACACACUUGUAAAUACUGUAUAUUAGACUGUGUAAAUAUGUAAAUACAUCUUCAUACUUACCUCAGCUGCAACAGUAACUAAUCAAUGUCUGAAGGUAAAUACUUUUAAUUAAUACAUGUAAAUAGAUCUUUAUACUUACCUCAGCU